GUUCUACCAGAUUGGUUCUGUGAGGUCACUAAGUGGUCUAUAAAGUGUAACCCAACCCACCCUCUGGAUCACAAGUUGCUUGAAGGUUAUCAGACCAAUUAAGACAAAUGAGUGAGCAUUGGUGGACAUUACACAACAAGGGAUGCAAGGAAGUUGCACUUUGUCAUCUUGUCCCUGGAAAAAAAUGAGAACUGAAAGGAGCCUGACAGUGUGAGCAGCAGCCGGCCUGAAUGUACAAAUAGCAGCCAAGCUGCCCAGUGACAGGGCAGUAGGUAUGCAAACUGGAACCAUAUUUUUGGAAGGCAAUUUGGAAAUAAAUAUUAAAAUAUAACAAGCAAAUACCCCUUGAUCCAGUAGUUCUACCUCUARAAAUGUACCUAAUCCUUGUGCACAUAUACAUGUAAAAGGGUUGUUAUUAUAUUAGAGAAAAAUGGGAACAACCCA